rnacentral:sRNA from 1 species
GAUUCAGUCUCAAAUAUCAUUAGAACAAGGUCAAAAGUAAGUUUAACACUAUAUUUGAGUUUUAAUUCAUGUAAUUUGUCACUGAGAUUAUAUUAUUAAUCUUCUUUACAUUGCUAAUUAAAGUGGAUUCAUAUCAAAGUGACAAACUAAUAAGCAGUUCAUUAGUUAUUUAAUUCUAAUAUCUGAUAAUUAAGUAACCAGUCGGCUGUUUUACAAUCAU